CUUUACGGGCGGCAGUGGUGAGGAGGCUUCGGCCUGCCGGUUACCUUCUUGCCGGUCUGCAAACCUUGUCACUUGUCGCCCACCUCG
rnacentral:antisense_RNA from 2 species